CCUACGGGGGGCAGCUGUGAGGAAUAUUGGUCAAUGGACGAGAGUCUGAACCAGCCAAGUAGCGUGAAGGAUGACUGCCCUAUGGGUUGUAAACUUCUUUUAUAUGGGAAUAAAAUGUUCCACGUGUGGGAUUUUGUAUGUACCAUAUGAAUAAGGAUCGGCUAACUCCGUGCCAGCAGCCGCGGUAAUACGGAGGAUCCGAGCGUUAUCCGGAUUUAUUGGGUUUAAAGGGAGCGUAGGUGGAUUGUUAAGUCAGUUGUGAAAGUUUGCGGCUCAACCGUAAAAUUGCAGUUGAAACUGGCAGUCUUGAGUACAGUAGAGGUGGGCGGAAUUCGUGGUGUAGCGGUGAAAUGCUUAGAUAUCACGAAGAACUCCGAUUGCGAAGGCAGUUCACUGGACUGCAACUGACACUGAGGCUCGAAAGUGUGGGUAUCAAACAGGAUUAGAUACCCUUGUAGUC
rnacentral:rRNA from 1 species